rnacentral:rRNA from 1 species
UCACGCCGUCGGAUGAGCCCAGAUGAGAUUAGCUGGUAGGUAGGGUAAAGGCUUACCUAGGCGACGAUCUCUAGCGGGUCUGAGAGGAUAGCCCGCCACACUGGAACUGAGACACGGUCCAGACUCCUGCGGGAGGCAGCAGUGGGGAAUAUUGCACAAUGGGCGAAAGCCUGAUGCAGCCAUGCCACGUGUGUGAAGAAGGCCUUCGGGUUGUAAAGCACUUUCAGCGAGGAGGAAGCGAUAAAUGCCAAUACCAUUUAUUUUUGACGUUACUCGCAGAAGAAGCACCGGCUAACUCCGUGCCAGCAGCCGCGGUAAUACGGAGGGUGCGAGCGUUAAUCGGAAUAACUGGGCGUAAAGGGCAUGUAGG